rnacentral:rRNA from 1 species
AUUAAACGCUGGCGGCAGGCCUAACACAUGCAAGUCGAACGGUAGCACAGAGAGCUUGCUCUCGGGUGACGAGUGGCGGACGGGUGAGUAAUGUCUGGGAAACUGCCCGAUGGAGGGGGAUAACUACUGGAAACGGUAGCUAAUACCGCAUAACGUCGCAAGACCAAAGUGGGGGACCUUCGGGCCUCACACCAUCGGAUGUGCCCAGAUGGGAUUAGCUAGUAGGUGGGGUAAUGGCUCACCUAGGCGACGAUCCCUAGCUGGUCUGAGAGGAUGACCAGCCAAACUGUAACUGAGACACGGUCCAGACACCUGCGGGAGGCAGCAGUGGGGAAUAUUGCACAAUGGGCGCAAGCCUGAUGCAGCCAUGCCGCGUGUAUGAAGAAGGCCUUCGGGUUGUAAAGUACUUUCAGCGGGGAGGAAGGCGGUGAAGUUAACAGCUUCACCGAUUGACGUUACCCGCAGAAGAAGCACCGGCUAACUCCGUGCCAGCCGCCGCCGUAA